GUUGUAUGGUUAAGUGACUAAGCGUACACGGUGGAUGCCUUGGCAGUUGGAGGCGAUGAAGGACGUAUUAACUUGCGAUAAGCCUAGUCAAGCUAGUAAAAAGCGCUUGAGGCUAGGAUUUCCGAAUGGGGAAACCCACCUGCUUGCAGGUAUCUUGCACUGAAUACAUAGGUGUAAGAGGCGAACGCGGAGAACUGAAACAUCUAAGUACCCGUAGGAACAGAAAUCAACCGAGAUUCCGGAAGUAGCGGCGAGCGAAACCGGACCAGCCCUUAAGCUUAUUAUGUGUUAGUGGAACAUUCUGGAAAGUUUGACGAUACAGGGUGAUAGUCCCGUACACGAAAAUGCAUCUUAAGUGAAAUCGAGUAGGUCGGAGCACGUGAAACUUUGACUGAAUAUAGGUGGACCAUCAUCUAAGGCUAAAUACUCCCAACUGACCGAUAGUGAACCAGUACCGUGAGGGAAAGGCGAAAAGAACCCCUGUGAGGGGAGUGAAAUAGAACCUGAAACCGUGUACGUACAAGCAGUAGGAGCCCUUCGAGGGUGACUGCGUACCUUUUGUAUAAUGGGUCAGCGACUUAUAUUUUGUAGCGAGGUUAACCGAUUAGGGUAGCCGUAGGGAAACCGAGUCUUAACUGGGCGUAUAGUUGCAAGGUAUAGACCCGAAACCCGGUGAUCUAGCCAUGGGCAGGUUGAAGGUUGAGUAACAUCAACUGGAGGACCGAACCCACUAACGUUGAAAAGUUAGGGGAUGACCUGUGGCUAGGAGUGAAAGGCUAAUCAAACCGGGAGAUAGCUGGUUCUCCCCGAAAUCUAUUUAGGUAGAGCCUCGGACGAAUACUUACGGGGGUAGAGCACUGUUAAGGCUAGGGGGUCAUCCCGACUUACCAACCCUUUGCAAACUCCGAAUACCGUAAAGUACUAUCCGGGAGACACACGGCGGGUGCUAACGUCCGUCGUGAAGAGGGAAACAACCCAGACCGCCAGCUAAGGUCCCAAAGUCAUAGUUAAGUGGGAAACGAUGUGGAAAGGCCCAGACAGCCAGGAGGUUGGCUUAGAAGCAGCCAUCCUUUAAAGAAAGCGUAAUAGCUCACUGGUCGAGUCGGUCUGCGCGGAAGAUGUAACGGGGCUAAACUAUGCACCGAAGCUGCGGAUUCAAACUUUGUUUGAGUGGUAGGGGAGCGUUCUGUAAGCCGUUGAAGGUGUACCGGGAGGUAUGCUGGAGGUAUCAGAAGUGCGAAUGCUGACAUGAGUAACGAUAAUGCGGGUGAAAAACCCGCACGCCGGAAGACCAAGGGUUCCUAUCCCAUGUUAAUCAGGGUAGGGUAAGUCGACCCCUAAGGCGAGGCCGAAAGGCGUAGUCGAUGGGAAACGGGUUAAUAUUCCCGUACUUGGUAUAAUUGCGAUGGGGGGACGGAGCAGGCUAAACAAGCAUGGCGUUGGUUGUCCAUGUGAAAGUGAGUAGGUUGAGAGUUUAGGAAAAUCCGGACUCUUAAGACUGAGACACGAGACGAGCACCCAAGGGUGUGAAGUUGUUGAUGCCAUACUUCCAGGAAAAGCCUCUAAGCUU
rnacentral:rRNA from 1 species